GAGAGGGAGGGGGGGGUUUGGGGGGGGGAGGGUGUAGGGGGUGGGGGAGGGGAGGAAGGGAGGGUACACAGGAGAGGUAUAGAGAAAAAGAAACGCAAAAGAACAGAAACACAGAAGAAAAGAAAUACAGAGAAAAAGAGACAAAGGGGCCCGGCCGGCAGCAACCUCCCGCUCUGAGCGCCGAGCAGCAAAUGGCUCUGCCCGGGCCUCCCCGCGGGUUAAAUCCCCCCGGCCCCGCCCCGCGCAGGCGCGCUGGGGCCCCGCGCACCUGUGCGCGCACCUGUGCUGGCCCCGCCCCAGCCCCGCCCCCCGCCCGUAAAUGGCGGCGGAUCCGCGCCCGCCUCACGUUCUGCGGGGGAUGCUCGGCCCGGGCUGCAGCGGGACCGGCGCUCGGAGCGCCGUGCCGAGAUCGGAUCGGCGCUGCUCCCGGCGUUGCGCGGCGUCCGACGGGCUCAGGUGGGACCGGGACUGGGAUCCGGGCCCGGGGAUUUGGGUCCCGGUCCCGCCGGUGUCUGCUGUGGGAGCCGGGCAGAGCCGCUCCUUCCUCGGCGGGCGGGGUGGGGGUGCCGGGGCCGGAGGAUCGAGGCGGGAUCGGGGCUGGGAUCGGGACCGGCAUCGCCGCUCCGCCGGGGCCGCCGCUCCCGCUCCGGCUGCGCCCGGUGCGGGGCUGGAGGAGCCCGGAGCCCCCGAAGGGCAGAGAGCACCUCCGGUCCUUGGCUCGGCAGGGCAGGAGCUGCCGUGCCCGGCCCGCGGCUCGCAGCGUGCCCAACGCACGGCCCGGCACGGGCACCGGGGCACCGGACAGCGCCGGCACGGACACGGCUGAAGGGCUGCCCGUGGCUCCUCGGCUGGGGGCUGCUCCCCACAGGCACGCAGGGAUGCUUCAGCCCGGACAGACGCCACCGACAGCCCCGAGGGACCCCAGGGAACGGCUGGCAUCACCUGGGAAUGGAGGCACGGCCGUUUGCAGAGCGGCUCUGACAGCAAUCCCUGUUUCUGACCUCCCCGAGCUCCCACACAGCUGCCAGAUACUAAAUGCCAAGCCAUAG
rnacentral:lncRNA from 1 species